AUUCAGCUUACGGGUCGCAAAUAAGACGAAACGUGCGUCCUGAAU
rnacentral:hammerhead_ribozyme from 1 species